CCUACGGGGUGCAGCAGUGAGGAAUAUUGGUCAAUGGACGAGAGUCUGAACCAGCCAAGUAGCGUGAAGGAUGACUGCCCUAUGGGUUGUAAACUUCUUUUAUAUGGGAAUAAAAUGUUCCACGUGUGGGAUUUUGUAUGUACCAUAUGAAUAAGGAUCGGCUAACUCCGUGCCAGCAGCCGCGGUAAUACGGAGGAUCCGAGCGUUAUCCGGAUUUAUUGGGUUUAAAGGGAGCGUAGGUGGAUUGUUAAGUCAGUUGUGAAAGUUUGCGGCUCAACCGUAAAAUUGCAGUUGAAACUGGCAGUCUUGAGUACAGUAGAGGUGUGCGGAAUGCGUGGUGUAGCGGUGAAAUGCUUAGAUAUCACGAAGAACUCCGAUUGCGAAGGCAGUUCACUGGACUGAAACUGACACUGAGGCUCGAAAGUGUGGGUAUCAAACAGGAUUAGAUACCCCUGUAGUC
rnacentral:rRNA from 1 species